GAUGAACGCUGGCGGCAUGCCUUACACAUGCAAGUCGAACGGCAGCACGGGUGCUUGCACCUGGUGGCGAGUGGCGAACGGGUGAGUAAUAUAUCGGAACGUACCUUAUUGUGGGGAUAACGCAGCGAAAGCUGUGCUAAUACCGCAUAAUCCCUAAGGGGGAAAGCGGGGGACCGUAAGGCCUCGCGCAAUUAGAGCGGCCGAUACCUGAUUAGCUAGUUGGUGAGGUAAAGGCUCACCAAGGCAACGAUCAGUAGCUGGUCUGAGAGGACGAUCAGCCACACUGGGACUGAGACACGGCCCAGACUCCUACGGGAGGCAGCAGUGGGGAAUUUUGGACAAUGGGGGCAACCCUGAUCCAGCAAUGCCGUGUGAGUGAAGAAGGCCUUCGGGUUGUAAAGCUCUUUUGUCAGGGAAGAAACAGCAGCUCUAACACAGUUUGCGAAUGACGGUACCUGAAGAAUAAGCACCGGCUAACUACGUGCCAGCCGCCGCCGUAA
rnacentral:rRNA from 1 species